AAAAGAAAAAUUCACAACACUUUCUUCACACAUAAUAUAUAUAUAUAUAUAUAUAUAUAUAUAUAUAUAAUGAGGUAUGCAUGAUAGCUUUUUAAACCAAAACAUAUACAGAAUAUGCACAUAUCUAUCAAUAUAUAUAUAUAUAUAUAUAUACAUACAAUGAGAUGAAGGCCCAGCAGUAUUUGUUAUACUUCAUUUAUAGUCUUUAAGUUUGCAGUGUUUAUUUUUCAGAAUAAAAUUUGUUAUUCAUGAGUGGAACCUCUGCAAAUGCCUCUCAGGUGGGCGGCAACAAAAAUAAAAGCAGAGAGAAUUUUCUUCUUUCAAUGCAAACAUUUAGAAAAAGUCUCUUGUGGUAUGAUUUUUCCUCCUGACCCAGCCCCUCAAUCCCGCAUCACCUGAGACAUGGAAUGCAAUUAGAAGCCCAGUCCACAAUUCCAAAGUGAGAACACAGCCCCAUUUCGAUUCAUUUAUUCCUUCCCAAUAAAGAAAUAAAGAGAGUUUCUUGCAAAAAUUAAAAAUAUUGGAAGUGGGAGAGCAAGAAGUACAAGUUGGUGGGUAGGUUGGUCAUGGAAAAAGUAUUGUCUCACUUCUCUGUAUUUACAUAUUAAUAGUUAUAAAAUCAUUAAUUUCAACA
rnacentral:lncRNA from 1 species